rnacentral:rRNA from 2 species
AGAGUUUGAUCCUGGCUCAGGAUGAACGCUGACAGAAUGCUUAACACAUGCAAGUCUACUUGAUCCUUCGGGUGAUGGUGGCGGACGGGUGAGUAACGCGUAAAGAACUUGCCCUGCAGUCUGGGACAACAUUUGGAAACGAAUGCUAAUACCGGAUAUUAUGUGAGUUUCGCAUGAAAUUCAUAUGAAAGCUAUAUGCGCUGCAGGAGAGCUUUGCGUCCUAUUAGCUAGUUGGUGAGGUAACGGCUCACCAAGGCGAUGAUAGGUAGCCGGCCUGAGAGGGUGAACGGCCACAAGGGGACUGAGACACGGCCCUUACUCCUACGGGAGGCAGCAGUGGGGAAUAUUGGACAAUGGACCAAAAGUCUGAUCCAGCAAUUCUGUGUGCACGAUGAAGUUUUUCGGAAUGUAAAGUGCUUUCAGUUGGGACGAAGUAAGUGACGGUACCAACAGAAGAAGCGACGGCUAAAUACGUGCCAGCAGCCGCGGUAAUACGUAUGUCGCAAGCGUUAUCCGGAUUUAUUGGGCGUAAAGCGCGUCUAGGCGGUUUGGUAAGUCUGAUGUGAAAAUGCGGGGCUCAACUCCGUAUUGCGUUGGAAACUGCCAAACUAGAGUACUGGAGAGGUGGGCGGAACUACAAGUGUAGAGGUGAAAUUCGUAGAUAUUUGUAGGAAUGCCGAUGGGGAAGCCAGCCCACUGGACAGAUACUGACGCUAAAGCGCGAAAGCGUGGGUAGCAAACAGGAUUAGAUACCCUGGUAGUCCACGCCGUAAACGAUGAUUACUAGGUGUUGGGGGUCGAACCUCAGCGCCCAAGCUAACGCGAUAAGUAAUCCGCCUGGGGAGUACGUACGCAAGUAUGAAACUCAAAGGAAUUGACGGGGACCCGCACAAGCGGUGGAGCAUGUGGUUUAAUUCGA